GUGCCAGCAGCCGCGGUAAUACAGAGGGUGCAAGCGUUGUUCGGAAUUAUUGGGCGUAAAGGGAGUGUAGGCGGCUCUUUAAGUCUUCUGUGAAAUCUACGGGCUUAACCUGUAACGUGCAGAGGAUACUGAGGAGCUUGAGUGUCGGAGAGGAUAGUGGAAUUCCCGGUGUAGAGGUGAAAUUCGUAGAGAUCGGGAGGAACACCAGUGGCGAAGGCGACUGUCUGGCUGACAACUGACGCUGAGACUCGAAAGCAUGGGGAGCAAACAGGAUUAGAUACCCUGGUAGUCC
rnacentral:rRNA from 1 species